UCUUUUUUUUUAUUUUUAUAGUUGUUGAUGGACCUUUAUUGAUUUAUAUGUGGUGCUGAGAAUUGAACCUAAGUGCCUCAUACAUGCUAGGCAAGCGUCUACCACUGAGCCAAAACCCAGCCCACAGACUUUUUAAUUUUUUAUUGUUGGUUGUUCAAAACAUUACAUAGUUCUUGAUAUAUCAUAUUUCACACUUUGAUUCAAGUGGGUUAUGAGCAGCCCACAGACUUUUAAAAAAUAAACCAGAACAAGCAGUGGUUCUUCAAUGCAACCUCCACUAUCAUAAAAGGUGAUGAUGUGCCUCAUUCAUUUUUUAAGGUUCUUAAAUUCUGUUUUCAAAUAAUAUUAUGUGCCUUCCAGUGUGUCUUAGGCAUGGUGAUACAUGCCUAUAAUCCCACCAACUCAGGAGCCUGAGGUUGGAGGAUUGCAAAUUCAAGGCUGGCCUCAGAAACAUAGGGAGAUCCUGUCCCAAAACUUAAAACCCUGGGUUUGAUCCCUAGUACCACCAAAGGGGCCAGAGCCAUUAUUCAUCAUUUUCUCCCCAGUGUUCUUUAAGAAGGAGAAACACCUCAGAGGAGAAAAAAAAGUUAACAAAAGAAACAAGAUUUUAAUUGUGGUCAUCAAGUCCUCAGUGUUUGGAGUUAUGCCUUCAGAUGUUUAGAUGCUAUAAUGACUACUUUUCUAUUUAUUUCAAAAUAAAUAAUAUGAUUUUGCCAUUUCUAUUUACUAUGGAAAAGUUGCCAAGAAAAAGAUUUCAAAAAGGAUAUUUUGAAGCUGAUAUUUUGAAGAUGUGUGACUGAUUCAAAUCAAAGACUAAUAUCUCCUGUUUUUUGGGUUUUUUUGUUUAUUUUUCUUGUUGUUGGUUUGUUUUUGUUUUUUGGGUUUUGUUGUGGUGGUAGUUGUUAUUUUUUUGUAUUGGGGAUUGAACCCAGGGGCACUUUACCACUGAGCCACAUCCCCAGCCUGAUUUUAUUUUUUAUUUUGACACAGUCUGUAAGUUGCUUAGUGCCUCACUAAAUUGCUGAGGCUGGCCUCAAACUCAAUCCUCCUGCCUCAGCAUCCCAAUCUCUAGGAUUACAGGCGUGAAACACCACCACUUAAUGUGUCCUAGGCUUGAUGUUCAGGGCUUUAAUUUGGUAAUUUAAUCUUCCCAGUGGUUCUGUUAAGUGGAAACCAUAUCACAGAGAAGUCAAGCUGUCUUCCAAAAGUUGAAUAGCUAAUAAAUGCCGGAGCCAGGAUUAAAAUCAAGUGAUUGAUCUAGUGUACCUACACUUCACCACUGUCCUCUACUGUCUGCCCCCAGAGCCCUCAAUUCUAAGAAGAAAUCAGAAUUAAUAUUGACUUUGAACAUCGCAUUUAUAAGAGUAAUAAAUACUACCUGUAUGCCAGGCACUGUGCGUAAGCAUUUCCUCAUUUAAAAUAACCCACAGCCCUCUAAGGACUAAACAGAAGAAAAUUAGACAACAACUUGGCACAGGGUGUUGGACUUAAAUGAGAAACCCUCAUUUCAUCCUGUGAUACUUUAAUUCCCAUGUUGAGUCCACUCUCAGCCCUGGAUAAACCAUCUUCUUAAAUAUUCAUCUGACAGGGCUGAGGUGGUAGCUCAGUGGUAGAGCACUUGCCUAACACAGGUGAGGCACUGGGUUCAAUUCUCAGUACUGAUAUAAAUAAGUAAAAUAAAGGUCCAUCGGCAACUAAAAAUAUUUUUUUAAUUCACCUGAGAAUGAGGGUAUCUUUAUUGCUCCCAAAUAAAACAAGCUGAUGUAUUCAAAAAAGGAAUAGAGAUACUGAAUAGAUGGAUUUCAAAAAUUAUGCCCAAGAAGUCAGACACAGAAGGUUAUAUGUUAUAGGAAUCCAUUUAUAUAAAAUAUUCAGAAUAGGGGGCUGGGGUUGUGGCUCAGUGGUAGAGUGCUUGCCUAGCACAUGUGAGGCACUGAGUUCAAGCCUCAGCACCACUUAAAAAUAAAUAAAACAAAGGUAUUCUGUCAUCUAUAACUAAAAGAAAAAAAAAUUGGUGCAGCCAAUCUGGAAAGUAGUAUAGAGAUUCCUUGGAAAACUUGGAAUGGAACCACCGUUUGACUCAGCUAUCCCACUCCUCUGUCUAUACCCAAAGGACUUAAAACAUCAUACUUCAGGGACACAGCCACAUCAAUGUUUAUAGCAGCACAAUUCACAAUAGCUAAAUUGUGGAACCAACCCAGAUGCCCUUCAGUGGAUGAAUGGAUAAAGAAACUGUGGUAUAUAUACACAAUGGAAUAUUACUCAGCAUUAAAGGAAUAAAAUCAUGGCAUUUGCAAGUAAAUGGAUGGAGUUAGAGAAUAUAAUGCUAAGUGAAGUAAGCCAAUCUCAAAAAACCAAAGGCUGAAUGUUUUCUUUGAUAUGAGGAUACUAACUCAUAAUGGUGAUAAGGGGGUGGAG
rnacentral:lncRNA from 1 species